rnacentral:misc_RNA from 1 species
UCCGAGUUGACCCCGGCAGUCUCCCAAGAGUCCCCACCAUUACGUGCUGGCAACAUGGGACAGAGGUUGCGCUCGUUGCGGGACUUAACCCAACAUCUCACGACACGAGCUGACGACAGCCAUGCAGCACCUGUGCAGGCUCCCGAAGGAGCACCGGCUUUCACCGGUUUCACCCUGCAUGUCAAGCCCUGGUAAGGUUCUUCGCGUUGCGUCGAAUUAAGCCACAUGCUCCGCCGCUUGUGCGGGUCCCCGUCAAUUCCUUUGAGUUUUAAUCUUGCGACCGUACUCCCCAGGCGGGAUACUUAACGCGUUAGCUUCGUUACUAAUGGGUUUAACCCCACCAACAACCAGUUGACAUCGUUUAGGGCGUGGACUAC